GCCAGACUCCUACGGGAGGCAGCAGUGGGGGAUAUUGCACAAUGGGGGGAACCCUGAUGCAGCGACGCCGCGUGGGUGAAGGAGCGUUUCGGCGCGUAAAGCCCUCUCGGCAGGGAAGAAGGAGGACGGUACCUGACUAAGAAGCUCCGGCUAAAUACGUGUCAGCAGCCGCGGUAAUACGUAUGGAGCAAGCGUUAUCCGGAAUUACUGGGUGUAAAGGGAGCGUAGGCGGCAAGGCAAGUCUGAUGUGAAAACCCAGGGCCCAACCCUGGGACUGCAUUGGAAACUGUAUUGCUUGAGUACCGGAGAGGCAGGCGGAAUUCCUAGUGUAGCGGUGAAAUGCGUAGAUAUUAGGAGGAACACCAGUGGCGAAGGCGGUCAACUGGACAGCAACUGACGCUGAGGCGCGAAAGCGUGGGGAGCAAAUAGGAUUAGAUACCCUCGUAA
rnacentral:rRNA from 1 species